rnacentral:rRNA from 1 species
UGCGCAGGCGGAAUGAUAAGUCAGUGGUGAAAUCCUACAGCUCAACUGUAGAACUGCCAUUGAUACUGUUGUUCUUGAGUACAUUUGUAGUGGGCGGAAUGUGUCAUGUAGCGGUGAAAUGCUUAGAGAUGACACAGAACACCGAUCGCGAAGGCAGCUCACUAAACUGUAACUGAUGCUGAGGCACGAAAGCGUGGGGAUCAAACAGGAUUAGAUACCCUGGUAGUCC